rnacentral:rRNA from 2 species
UACGUAGGUGGCAAGCGUUGUCCGGAUUUAUUGGGCGUAAAGCGCGCGCAGGCGGUCCUUUAAGUCUGAUGUGAAAUCUUGCGGCUCAACCGCAAGCGGUCAUUGGAAACUGGGGGACUUGAGUGCAGAAGAGGAAAGCGGAAUUCCACGUGUAGCGGUGAAAUGCGUAGAGAUGUGGAGGAACACCAGUGGCGAAGGCGGCUUUCUGGUCUGUAACUGACGCUGAGGCGCGAAAGCGUGGGGAGCAAACAGG